AGACAUUUUUGGUUGGGGCAUUUGA
rnacentral:piRNA from 1 species